UCCCUGGUGGUCUAGUGGCUCAGGAUCCCAUGCUCUCGCCACUGCCCGGGUUCAAUUCCCGGGCAGGGAA